rnacentral:rRNA from 1 species
GACGAACCUUGCUAACGUUAUUCGGAAUUACUGGGCUUAAAGGGUGCGUAGGCGGUGCAGCAAGUCGGGUGUGAAAUCCUCCAGCUCAACUGGAGAAUUGCGCCCGAAACUGCUGUGCUUGAGAAAGAUAGAGGUACGCGGAACUUAGGGUGGAGCGGUGAAAUGCGUUGAUAUCCUAAGGAACACCAGUAGCGAAGGCGGCUCGCUGGGCCACACCUGACGCUGAGACGCGAAAGCUAGGGGAGCGAACAGGA